AGUCGAGCGGAUUGAAGACUUCGGUCUGAUGUUAGCGGCGGACGGGUGAGUAACGCGUGGGCGACCUGCCUUAUACAGGGGGAUAACAGUGAGAAAUCACUGCUAAUACCGCAUAAGACCACACUACCGCAUGGUAGAGGGGUAAAAGGAGCAAUCCGGUAUGAGAUGGGCCCGCGUCUGAUUAGCUAGUUGGAGAGGUAAUGGCUCACCAAGGCGACGAUCAGUAGCCGACCUGAGAGGGUGAUCGGCCACAUUGGGACUGAGACACGGCCCAAACUCCUACGGGAGGCAGCAGUGGGGAAUAUUGCACAAUGGGGGAAACCCUGAUGCAGCAACGCCGCGUGAAGGAAGACGGUUUUCGGAUUGUAAACUUCUAUCAACGGGGAAGAAAAAAAUGACGGUACCCGAAUAAGAAGCCCCGGCUAACUACGUGCCAG
rnacentral:rRNA from 1 species